UGCUCUGUAACUCAGUUGGAUAGAGUGCCGCUUUCAUACGGCGGAAGCCGCUGGUUCGAUCCCAGCCAGAGCAA
rnacentral:tRNA from 1 species